rnacentral:rRNA from 1 species
GACGAACGCUGGCGGCGUGCUUAACACAUGCAAGUCGAACGGAAAGGCCCUGCUUUUGUGGGGUGCUCGAUUGGCGAACGGGUGAGUAACACGUGAGUAACCUGCACUUGACUUUGGGAUAACUUCAGGGAACUGGGGCUCAUACCGGAUAGGAGCUCCUGCUGCAUGGGGGUGGUUGGAAAGAUUCGGCGGUGGGGGAUGGACUCGCGGGUUAUCAGCUUGUUGGUGGGGUAGUGGCUGACCAAGGUUUUGACGGGUAGCCGGCCUGAGAGGGUGACCGGCGACAUGGGGACUGAGAGACGGCGCAGACGCCUAUGGGAGGCAGCAGGGGGGAGUAUUGCACAAUGGGCGGACGUCUGAUGCAGCAGCGCCGCGUGCGGGAUGACGGGCUUCGGGGUGAAAACCACUUUCGCCUGAGACAAAGCGUGAGUGACGGUACUGGGUAAAGAAGCACCGGCUAACUACGUG